AUUGAACGCUGGCGGCAUGCUUUACACAUGCAAGUCGAACGGCAGCGCGGGCUUCGGCCUGGCGGCGAGUGGCGAACGGGUGAGUAAUGCAUCGGAACGUGCCCAGUAGUGGGGGAUAGCCCGGCGAAAGCCGGAUUAAUACCGCAUACGACCUGAGGGUGAAAGCGGGGGACCGAAAGGCCUCGCGCUAUUGGAGCGGCCGAUGUCGGAUUAGCUAGUUGGUGGGGUAAAGGCUUACCAAGGCGACGAUCCGUAGCUGGUCUGAGAGGACGUCCAGCCACACUGGGACUGAGACACGGCCCAGACUCCUACGGGAGGCAGCAGUGGGGAAUUUUGGACAAUGGGGGCAACCCUGAUCCAGCCAUGCCGCGUGCGGGAAGAAGGCCUUCGGGUUGUAAACCGCUUUUGUUCGGGAAGAAAUCCUCUGGGCUAAUACCCCGGGGGGAUGACGGUACCGGAAGAAUAAGCACCGGCUAACUACGUG
rnacentral:rRNA from 1 species